AUUUUCUCAGUUUUCCCUCACCAGCUUUGAAUAGCGCUGUUGGAGGAAAUCUCAGAAGAAAUAAAGGAACAAUGUCAUGAAGUGGUGUUACCUUAUUUGUUUUCCUUAGUUUAUAUUUAUGCUG